UUUUUGGAUUAUUUUUUGAAUAUUUUUUGAAAUAUUUUUUAUUUCACCAACCAUCAUCACGCUGGUUCCCUAUGAAGAUCACUCCUUUUGUUUUCCUGGCAAUUUUGUAGAACGCAAGAUAUGUGGCAAACACAGGUUUCCUUCCCCCCUUAUCACAUUUGAUAAUCUUUGUAAUCAAUCAUUCCUUUGAAUAUUUCUUGAAUAUUUUCAUGAAUAUUUCCGUGAAUAUUUCCGUGAAUAUUUUUUUGAUUAUUUUUUGAAUAUUUUUUAUUUCACCAACCAUCAUCACACUGGUUCCCUAUGAAGAUCACUCCUUUGGUUUUCCUGGCAAUUUUGUAGAACGCAAGAUAUGCGGAAAACACAGGUUUCCUCCCCCCCUUAUCACAUUUGAUAAUCUUUGUAAUCAAUCAUUCCUUUGAAUAUUUCUUGAAUAUUUUCGUGAAUAUUUCCGUGAAUAUUUUUUGAUUAUUUUUUUGAUUAUUUUUUGAAUAUUUUUUAUUUCGCCAACCAUCAUCACACUGGUUCCCUAUGAAGAUCACUCCUUUUGUUUUCCCGGCAAUUUUGUAGAACGCAAGAUAUGUGGCAAACACAGGUUUCCUUCCCCCCUUAUCAUAUUUGAUAAUCUUGGUAAACAAUCAUUCCUUUAAAUAUUUAAAGAAUAAUAACAUGAAUAUUUCCGUGAAUAUUUCCGUGAAUAUUUUUUGAUUAUUUUUUGAAUAUUUUUUAUUUCACCAGCCAUCAUCACACCGCGUUCCCUAUGAAGAUCACUCCUUUUGUUUUCCUGGCAAUAUUGUAGAACGCAAGAUAUGUGGCAAACACAUGUUACUUUCCCCCCUUAUCACAUUUGAUCAUCUUUGUCAUCAAUCAUUCCUUUGAAUAUUUCUUGAAUAUUUUCAUGAAUAUUUCCGUGAAUAUUUCCGUGAAUAUUUUUUGAUUAUUUUUUUGAUUAUUUUUUGAAUAUUUUUUAUUUCACCAACCAUCACCACACUGGUUCCCUAUGAAGAUCACUCCGUGUGUUUUCCUGGCAAUUUUGUAGAACGCAAGAUAUGUGGCAAACACAUGUUUCUUUCCCCCCUUAUCCAUUUGAUAAUCUUUGUAAUCAAUCAUUCCUUUGAAUAUUUCUUGAAGAUUUUCGUGAAUAUUUCCGUGAAUAUUUUUUGAAUAUUUUUUUGAUUAUUUUUUGGUGAUUUUGUACUUCAC
ensembl:lncRNA